rnacentral:rRNA from 1 species
GACGAACGCUGGCGGCGUGCUUAACACAUGCAAGUCGAACGGAAAGGCCCUGCUUUUGUUGGGUGCUCGAGUGGCGAACGGGUGAGUAACACGUGAGUAACCUGCCCUUGACGUUGGGAUAACUUCAGGAAACUGGGGCUAAUACCGGAUAGGAGCUCCUGCUGCAUGGUGGGGGUUGGAAAGUUUCGGCGGUUGGGGAUGGACUCGCGGCUUAUCAGCUUGUUGGUGGGGUAGUGGCUUACCAAGGCUUUGACGGGUAGCCGGCCUGAGAGGGUGACCGGCCACAUUGGGACUGAGAUACGGCCCAGACUCCUACGGGAGGCAGCAGUGGGGAAUAUUGCACAAUGGGCGGAAGCCUGAUGCAGCACCGCCGCGUGCGGGAUGACGGCCUUCGGGUUGUAAACCGCUUUCGCCUGUGACGAAGCGUGAGUGACGGUAAUGGGUAAAGAAGCACCGGCUAACUACGUG